GUAGCUUGCCAUCACCCGUGUGUGAAUGGGUGAAUGACUGAAUGUAAUGUAAAGCGCUUUGGGGUCCAUAGGGACUAAGUAAAGUGCUAUACAAAUGCAGGCCAUUUACCAUUAUUUGACUUUAAUUGUACAAUUGAUGAUUUAGAUAGGAAUCACUUGGAGCCCCAUAUGCAUUCAAGGAGGAUAUUGAAAUGUGUUAACGAGACCUAUAAUUUGGUUGAUGUGUGGCAUUCUAAACAUGAAAAAACACAACUUUUUUCAUGGGCUCAUUGUGAGGAGAAUUACAUUUCUUUAGCACGUUUUGAUAGGUUUUAUUGUUAUGGUCAUGCAACAUGUGUCCAGUGGGUUUUUCUGAUCAUAAUAUGAUGGAAGAAAAUGUGUUUAUAAAUAGACUAAGACCUAAGAGUGCAUAUUGGCAUUUUAAUACGGUUUUGCUAAAUGAUGGGUGUUUUAAAAAAGGAUUUUUCUUUUUUUGGAAUCAGUGGAGAACUAUGAAGUGUCAGUUUGCUUCCUUGCAGCAAUGGUGGGAUAUUGGUAAAAUAAAAAUUCAGCAGUUCUGUAUUCAAUAGACACAUAAUGUCACAAGAGAGACGGUAAAAUCUAUUAAAGAAUUAGAGACUGAUAUAGUGGAUCUUUAAAAUUUGAGUGAGUCCACAGGAGAUCGAGGCCAUUUCCAGGCACUCAAAAGUAAAAACGCUGUUUUGGCUGAUCUGCUAGGGCUUAGAGCACAGGCCGCCCUGGUCUGUUCACCUUUUCAAAAUUUUGCUGAAAUGGAUGCUCCCUCAGAAUUCUUCUUUAAUUUGGAGAAAUUAAAAACAUUGUUUUACUACCAUACUGUUUUUUGGAGAAAUUUAACAAAUCAGUGAUCUGUGAAUUCGUAUUUUUCUUUUUUUGUCUUUCAAUUCAGGUGCUUUACACUUGUCCUCUCCCAGCAUUCAGCACUUCAGACACUCAACACCCCACCCAGACGACAGCCUUACCCCGACCUGAUGAGAAGGAUGGAUGACCAAAGGACAAACUGGAGAGUGGAGCUGUUUUCCAACUAUGGCAGUGUCUUUAGCAAUCCUGGAACAGCUGAGAGUGGACAGAGCUGCACAGAGGACCAAAGAUCCACUCUCAGCACUUUAUAUCUGACCGGCCCCAGCACCACCCCUCUUCACCCAACGUGAGGAGGGACCUGACCCCGCCUGCACAGAGGGAGUUGUGGACAUCAUUUCUGUGUCACUGGGUUUAGGAACCUUCUCACACACACACGGAUGAACACUGUCACUGGAAGAUGUCUCCAUUGCAUCAGCAGGAUGUAAGCAUUUAUACAAUAUUGCAGUUUGUGAUGUUUUAUACAUGUUUUUAUCUCUUCAUUUAAAACUAGGAGAUAUAAAAUAAACCAAUUUUCAUAAUAUUUUCUGUGUAUUUCUUUUAUAAUAAGUUAUUUGGAGCAUCAUUGCAGCCUGUCAGCUUUUUAUUGAGGAUUUAGAAAGUUGUUGGUGGCCUGAGUGUGUACAGUGGGGAGUUGUUUUUGUCACAUGGUGAAAGUGACCUGAUGGGGAGCAAAAAGACAAACUGAAC
ensembl:lncRNA